GGCUGAGCUGCAACUAUUGCACAUGUCUGCCUCUAUUCACUGCCCUCAGUGAAAUCUGGGAAAGGUUUAAAUGUCCAUGGACAGGAGCCGGGCCUGCUCCGAGCCCGGGCGGGCCGUGCGGGCAGGGGCUGCAGCGUGGGAAGGGGUCGGGUCUCGGGCACGGCCUGGGUCCCGCGCUCCCGCGGUGUGCGGGGAGCUCCUGUGGCGUCUGGGGGGUUCCGCCUGUCUCCCGAGCCUGCAGCUCGCGGCCGACUUCUCGGUCGCUACCUCCUGUUGCCGGUCUGGUCCUGGCUCUCCGCCUGCUUCGGUCCACGCGGCCGCCAACACGCAGACGCACAGUCUAGAGGGUGCGCGACUGAAGGAACCUCCUAAGCAGCUAAACCUUCAGACGAUACCUUGAGGAGCCAAGACUUAGAAGAAGAGAUAUUUGUGGAUUUGAUGGCAUGGUGUUGAGAGAAGCAAACACACGAUGCAUUCUGGCUCCAAGGUUGCACCCUCCGAACAGACCCGAUCCUUGGCAGAAGCAGCUGGACGGGACUAAUAUAAACUUUACACUGAUUGACGCUGUAACCUCUGAUGCAAUCACUGUAAGAUAACUCCGCAAGCGUGUUUUAUGUUGCUGCACCUGCCACAGGAAAGAGGCAGAGGGAGAUUUGGAACCGAGGAAGGCAAGGUGAGCACUGGAGCGAAAUGCUUGCUCUCCUGCCAGCUCUGGCCAAGGAAGAAGGGGCUGUGAGACACGGACUGCAGCUCGAGGCGCUGGAAAAGAUGCAUAAAGGAUUUUUCCAGCCUUUGCCCAUCACCUGACCUGAAGAAAGUCCAGGGUCACUUGGACCUCAGACUAAGUCCUUGGAGAAUGUGCGGUUGAAGCUGAGAGACCAUCUCGGGUCACAGAGGCAGCCUGGAGCACCCAGUGGCAGACGACACCCGAGCCCACCCUGCCGGUGAAGAAGGGACAAAUCAGGACUGACGACCUAGCUUCACAACAGUUCUACAGCUGUAGGUAAUCUCAGUGGGAAAAGGAACUUCUUGGAGAGUGUUAAAUCAUAAGCAGAAGAGUGAGCUACAGGUUGUUUUCCACAAAGCUGAUGCAGCAACGGAGUGCAAGUACAGCUUCUCCCAAGUUUCUCCGUACCAAGAGCUUUCUGUGGCGCCUGGAGUAAGGCCCUUGCAGACCCUACACGAUGUGGCCGCAGCCCUCCUACCCCUCAGGUUUGCUGCAGGCCCUCGUACCGCAGCGGUGGCUCUCAGCGCCCCUCGCCCACCACCAGGCCUCUGAGCUUCUCUCUUCUGCCCGAGGAGGAAGCUCUCAGACAAGAGCUGGCAGGAGAAUUUCUUUUGCUCCUGCCCCUACCUCCCGACCAGACCUGGCACUCCCAAGAUGGCCGUGUGCAGGGCGGCAUGUCCCUUUCUCUGGGGAAAUACAUCCUCGUUUUAGUGGCAUGAACCUUCCAUGUUGUCACUCAGUCACCUCUGUAAAUUAAAAGCUCAUGGGUACAAAUGAGACACUCAGGAGAAAUACGAGGAUUCCCACUAUUAUUCAGAAUUUUAACUGAGUCCUAGUCUGAGCAAUAAGAUUUAAAGAAAAAGAGUAUAAGAAUUGGAAGGAAACAAAAUUGCCACUAUUUGAAGAGGACAUGAUUAUGACAUAGAAACUCCAGAAAGCUAAAAUUUAUAAUCAAAUUCAACAGUAAAUCAAAUAUGAAAGUUAAUUGCAUUUCUGUAUAUCAGCAACCAAUAUAUAGAAAAUGAAGGAAAAAAAAAUGUCCAUGGACAGACACACACACACACACACAGAGAGAGAGAGAGAGAGAGAUUCUCUACUCUCAUUUAGGACUCAGAGGGUUAAACAGAAGAUGAAAAAAAUAGCAUAAACAGCUGGUUCCAAGGUGCGAGUUGCUCUUCUGUGAUACUAUUUUGUUUGUGCUCUGCAGCUGUACCAGAAAGUUUUUGUUCUCCCAAGAAAAUACUGAACUGAAAAGAUAAUUGGUAUUCAAGACACACAUGUUUUCUACCAGCAAAUAAGAAAAAAGCACAACAGUAUUCUUGAAGGAUGCUGAUUUUUUUUGUGUUUUGCAAUUCUGCAUUUUCAAAAAUGACAUCUGUUUUGUGAGUGACUAAAAACUCUGGGGGAAGAAUUUUUAAAAGGAAAUAAAAUUGUGUUUCUGAGCA
ensembl:lncRNA